GGAAUUCAUGGUGGUCACUGUCCUUGUUGCAGCUGUGCAUAGUCGGAAAUGAAUUCACUGCGGUCACUGUCCAUGUUGCAGCUGUGAAUAGUCGGAAAGGAAUUCACGGUGGUCAUUGUCAGUGUUGCAGCUGUGAAUAGCCUGAAACAUGAGAAAUGGUGAACUUUUGGACCAUUUGUGCGCACCAGUUGGCCAAGCUGCAAUGUGGGUGCUGGAAUUGCUUUGACAUUAUUUUGGUUUGCUAGUACGCCGCUUGUACUCGUUGGCAGUGCCCUAGGAGAUUUGACCCAGCUGUUACUGGCUUGAGUUCCAAGUCCGGAAACACGGGCAAAAAGCCCCAAACUUGAAGAUGGUUAUUUUCAGCUUUCAGCAGCCCAGGCAAGUCGUUUAUGGCAAUGUGUGUCAUUCCUGUUGUUCACUUCUCUUUAGUUGGAAGGUUGAGAAAUUGUGAAUGUACUGUCGUGGACGUGGAAAUCCGGUCGCACGUCUAGCGGCCCCAGGGCGCUAGCCAUGCAGCCGAGGAUAAGCGGAAUGCUGAAUGUAUAUGCACUGCAGCGCGCUGGUCGCAUCGGAUCAACAUGACUGCACGCAGCGUUCUGUACGCGCUGAGGGCGGCGGUCCCGGUCAAUCGACUGGAUUUCUAUGUCCGCUACAGUACCUGUGUGUAAAUGGGCCCAGUUGCAAUGUGGGUGCUGGAAUUGCUUUGAUUUUUUGAUUUGCUGGUAGGGCCGGAAAGAAAGAAUUUGGUACAGCACUCACACUUUUCCCUUAACAUACCAACACUCAAAUACCCACCCACACACAUGUACCUCACCUGCAUUUCCCCAAUCUACACUUACUUCAACACUACUCGCUGCUCACGUAAUAGCGCAUCCAAUAGUGCUAGCUUUAGAUUAUCAGUGUUGGUUGUAUCAGUUUUACUUCGAAGUAGAUCUAAACUUUAUGGUACCAUAAUCAAUAUCUUUCCUUCGUCGUCCAACUCUCGGUGUGAUGAAGAUUUCGUUCAAAUCAUAUUGUCCUGUUGUUCUCAAGUAUGAGUGCGAACACUUUACUUUCAUCGAUAUGAAGAUUCUUGCCUGCCGACUUUUUGAUCAUUUUUUAGCUCAUCCUACCUCUGAACUUCCCACCUGAAAUGUUUGGUCA